UACGUAGGUGGCGAGCGUUGUCCGGAUUUACUGGGCGUAAAGAGCGCGCAGGCGGCUGGUCAAGUCCGGAUCGUGAAAGCUCCCGGCUUAACUGGGAAAUUGCAUCGGGAAACUGAUCGGCUGGAAGGUGGGAGAGGGUAGCGGAAUUCCCGGUGUAGUGGUGAAAUGCGUAGAUAUCGGGAGGAACACCAGUGGCGAAGGCGACUACCUGGCCCAUUCUUGACGCUGAGGCGGCGAAAGCUAGGGGAGACCGAAGGG
rnacentral:rRNA from 1 species